rnacentral:rRNA from 4 species
UAGUGGCGAACGGGUGAGUAACACGUGGGCAAUCUGCCCUUCACUCUGGGACAAGCCCUGGAAACGGGGUCUAAUACCGGAUAAUACUCCUGCCUGCAUGGGCGGGGGUUGAAAGCUCCGGCGGUGAAGGAUGAGCCCGCGGCCUAUCAGCUUGUUGGUGGGGUAAUGGCCCACCAAGGCGACGACGGGUAGCCGGCCUGAGAGGGCGACCGGCCACACUGGGACUGAGACACGGCCCAGACUCCUACGGGAGGCAGCAGUGGGGAAUAUUGCACAAUGGGCGAAAGCCUGAUGCAGCGACGCCGCGUGAGGGAUGACGGCCUUCGGGUUGUAAACCUCUUUCAGCAGGGAAGAAGCGAAAGUGACGGUACCUGCAGAAGAAGCGCCGGCUAACUACGUGCCAGCAGCCGCGGUAAUACGUAGGGCGCAAGCGUUGUCCGGAAUUAUUGGGCGUAAAGAGCUCGUAGGCGGCUUGUCACGUCGGAUGUGAAAGCCCGAGGCUUAACCUCGGGUCUGCAUUCGAUACGGGCUAGCUAGAGUGUGGUAGGGGAGAUCGGAAUUCCU